CCUACGGGGGGCAGCAGUAGGGAAUCUUCCACAAUGGGCGAAAGCCUGAUGGAGCAACGCCGCGUGGGUGAAGAAGGUCUUCGGAUCGUAAAACCCUGUUGUUAGAGAAGAAAGUGCGUGAGAGUAACUGUUCACGUUUCGACGGUAUCUAACCAGAAAGCCACGUCUAACUACGUGCCAGCAGCCUAGGUAAUACGGAGGUGGCAAGCGUUAUCCGGAUUGAUUGGGCGUAAAGGGUACGCAGGCGGUCUUUUAAGUUUGAUGUGAAACCCUUUGGCUAAACCGGAGUAGUGCAUUGGAAACUGGGAGACUUGAGUGAAGAAGAGGAGAGUGGAACUCUAUGUGUAGCGGUGAAAUGCGUAGAUAUAUGGAAGAACACCAGUGGCGAAAGCGGCUCUCUGGUCUGUAACUGACGCUGAGGUUCGAAAGCGUGGGUAGCAAACAGGAUUAGAUACCCGUGUAGUC
rnacentral:rRNA from 1 species